rnacentral:lncRNA from 1 species
AUCAUGAUAUCAUGGUUAGGUUUGCUUGUUUAGCCAAAAAUGAAAGGACAACUUACUGAAGAAUACUCGAUUUCGAUUUUUUUUUCUUGCGCCAAAUUAAGGAAUAUAAUUUCCCUGUGAAUAUAUAGAGAAAGACCUACAUUCUUGUGCUUAUAAUCAACAUUUUUGGCGUUACUUCUCGUUGGGUUUUCUUUCUUUUCAUAUCACAUUUCCC